AAACAAUUAAAUGAUCCAUUCUAAGAGGCUUUGUGAGCCAAAACAUUCAAGAUCUUAAUGGAUUCCUCUUUGUUGAACACCAAGGGUUGGAAUAGAGAAUUCCAUUUAGAUCUUCAGCUUCUUUUCAGUUUAACUAAAUAGGCUUUUAGGUAGUUUGUUUUUAAGGUAUUUAGAAAUGGCAAAAGCCUUUGCCUUUCAAGUGUAUGCCUGUUUUAGUUGCUCCAAGUCAUUAUGGG
rnacentral:misc_RNA from 1 species